rnacentral:rRNA from 1 species
CACGUAGGAGACGAGCGUUACCCGGAUUUACUGGGUGUAAAGCGCGUGCAGGCGGUCUGUUAAGUUGGAUGUGAAAGCUCCCGGCUAAACUGGGAGAGGUCGUUCAAAACUGGCAGGCUAGAGUGUGGUAGAGGGGAGUGGAAUUCCGAGUGUAGCGGUAAAAUGCAUAGAUAUUCGGAAGAACACCAAUGGCGAAGGCGACUUCCUGGACCACAACUGACGCUCAGACGCGAAAGCCAGGGUAGCAAACGGG